rnacentral:lncRNA from 1 species
GGAUGUCUGCUUCGACCUAUUCUUGACCGCAGCACAUCCGUUUUCCUUACAGUAUGUAGUACGCAUUCUACCUUUUCCUACAAUGAAUCCACCAGCAGAAAUUCCUGUACACAUCUUAUCAACAAAGAAUUUGAACCUCAAAGAGUUCUGGUGCUGGUGAUUAUUAAGUUCUUCACACUUCUCUCAUAGUGGAGCUUAAGAUUCUCACUGUGUUACCUAGGCUGCAGUGCAGUGGUGCGAUCUCAACUCACUGCAACCUCUACCUCCUGGGUUCAAGCAAUUCUCCUGCCUCAGCCUCCCAAGUAGCUGGGAUUACAGAGCUCAUGGUUUUUAAACAACUUGUGGUAAAAAUCUGGUGGAAAAGAUAACAACAGUAUAUGAUAUGGCAGAGUUGCACAGAAGAAUCAGAACAUUGUUUUAGAGAAACGUUGGGCAAUUAAUUAAGCCAGCUGAUUAAGUUUUAAAGAAGCUAAACCAUAUCAUGUCGAAAUCAGAGGAGCGAUGAAAGUGUGAGUGGUGGUAUUUCUGCUGUUCUCCCCCCUGAAGGCUUCUGCGAUUAGCUUCUAUGCCUUCCUUCCCUUAUGGGCAUUCAGAUCCAAACUACUUGCAACUGUAGACAAGGUAAUCAUUUAAUCAUUUGCAUCUUAUCUUUCCACUGAAAUACAGUUUAUUGAGGCUGUGUAACGGAGAGCUAGGGGAGACACAACAAGAAACCACAAUUCAGGUUUAGUUCAUAUGGUGUUUCAGAGUCACUAGACUUCAGUCAUUAACUUUACAUUAUUGGUAAGUCCAGCUAUGUGUACCUUUCACAAAAGCAAAGAAAGAGUUGGACUCAGG